GCUGAUACUGGAGUGGAUAUUAUUAACUCGUUAUUGAUAUUUAAACGAAUUUAAAAAAGAAAAAUUAUAUUAUUUUUACUUUGAUAAAGAUUUUUAAAAAUUUAAAAUGAUCUCUACUAAUGUUAUGUCGUUUAUGAAAAAGAUAGUAAAAAGUGGCAACAGUGGUGGAGAAGAAAUUCGAGAGAAACCAAGCGCUAUCAAUAAACUUAAACAGACGGUAACACUUGGCAUGACUCUUGGAAGAGACAAGCCCAAACCUAUAGGAGAAGACCUGGCGUAUUUAACAGCAGAAGAAAGAUCGAUAUUAAACAGAGUUUGGCAAAAAGAGAAAGAAUUUGAGAAAGAAUCUCAAAAAUUCAGAAUUCAGAGUCCUCAAUCGACACCACAAGCAGUACAGAUCAAAGAAAAAGCUGUAGAAAAACCGCAGACACCGGUUAACGUUCCUUCUGGACCGAACUGCAGGAUAUGUCGUAAAAUUAUCGAACCGGGUGAACAGCGUAACAACUGUGACGAAUGUGGACAGGUAGUCUGUGACGAUUGUGCCUCUUAUUCGAAAACGUCAGCUAAUCAAUCUCAGGGUUGGAAAUGUAGUUUCUGUCGUAGAAGACAAGGACAAGAUAGGCUCGGUAUAGAACCUCCUCCCGGUUCUGGUAUGCAUAGGGUACCUUCCGUUAGAAGAAUGGCCGAAAAAUUAGCUAGAACUAACAAAGAAGUUGGCAUUUAUGGAUCCUCAGAGAAAUUAUUUACUAAAGAAGGAGCUAUAUUGCUUGAAAAGAGACAGCAAUCGACACAUGAUGUGAUCAAUAAAGAGUAUGCUUCUUGCUUGACUCCCUUCAAUCCGGACAGUAAAGAAAUGUCAAAUAAAAACAUAGAAGAUGAAUCGCCUCGAUCACUGAGAAAACAUUUAUCUUUAGAAAAAUCUCAAGAUGGUCGAACGAGAAGAGAAACAAAAUCAUCGGUCAAAAGACAAAAAUCGAUAGAAGAUCGAAGAAGAUCAGGGAGGACGAGAAAUUCUUCACCAGUCGGUAGGGACCAAUCUAAAGAAAGGUACUACUCUUCAGAAACACCCAGUGAUAGAAGAUCUUCUUCGGAAUCGCAAAAAGGACCAAUUCAUCCGUUGCCUGUUCACAAUCCAGCUAGAGUAAGUUCUUGUGGUGUAUGCAGUCUUACAUCUUCUCAUCAGCAUUCUCACGGAACGGAACAGUCUUCUCCAUCAGAAAGCUCUUUGGACGAGAUGAGCCAAAGCCCAGAAUAUGAUAAAAGAAGAAAGUAUAGAGUGAAGAGAAAAUCAAAAAUACAAAGACAGAAAAACUAUAUUGAAGAACCCGAUUCGGAUCCAUGCGGCUAUCGUGACGAAAGAGCGAGAAGUAAUGCCACUUCCUCAUUAGAAUCAAGCAGUGCCUUAGAAAGUAUAGAUAACGGUUUGGACUACUGGCCAAAGGAGUACAAAAAUUCUUCAGAGAAACCUCUACGACAAAUUGCUUCGGAUGCAGCUUUAUACGUUAGGCGCUUCAGUUCGGAAAGUUCGGAUAUAAGUGAUGUAAGUGGAGAAUAUUCCACCAGUGAUAGAAGCGGAAAAUAUAUAUCAACGUCCACAAAGAGACAACGGUCCAGCCAGAAACACCCGAGAAGGAGAAGAGAUAUAGUAAGUCCAGUGGUCAUGGAUAGUAGCCCAUCGGCUGACGAGCAGAUUAUAGAGCAUAGGACACCUGCAAAAUCCAGUUCGUUAGACGAUACCGAUAAAAGCCCAAAAGGGGCCACCACUCAGUUAAGGAAAAGUAUACCCUGCGUAUAUGUAGAUUCUGUAGCUGAUCUUCAAACUUCCAGGAGGAAUCACGUACAAGAUCAUACGGAAUGGGAUUAUCAACGAAGAAGUAGUACAGGAAGAGCGUUACCAGCAAUUCCGGAUGGUCAUAGCUUCCUUCUACCACAUACGAGGACACAAAGUACCCAUUCUUUAGAUUUACCACGAGAAGAAGUGGGUAGACCCGAGAGAAGAGCGUCUGCUCCUGAACGAGAAAACAUAAAGAUAGUGAUUGAUGAUGUGGAUUCAGAACAGAAAGGACGUUACGGACGACAGACGUAUCUAAGAAAUAUUCUAAUUCGUCGUGAUCCCGAUGACGAAGGUGCUCGUACCAAAGGUUUCGGUAUGAGGGUUAUGGGAGGAAAAAACGGUGACGAUGGACGACUUUACGCACAGAUUUCGUGGAUAGUUCCUGGAAGCGCUGUAGAGAAACAUGGCUUAAAACCGGGUGAUAAAAUAAUUAAAUGGAAUACGGAAUGCUUAACGGAUAAGACUUAUGAAGAAGUAUCAUCCAUUAUGGAACGAUCUAGUGAUGUGGUUGAAUUAUUGGUUGAGGUUUCAGGAAGAACGAAAAGUUUCGAUUCAAUUUCUUCGAUUAAGACAAAAAUAGCUCCCAAGUUAAUUAUAUCGACUGAAGGUUAUAAAGAAUCUGAUGUGUCAGUUGUCUCUCCGACUAGAAGAAAACUGCCAAAAACUCCGGAUCAAUUGGGUCAACAACACAGUACGGUUUGUGGUGAAGUAGGAGUACAAAUCUGGUAUAACCAAGAUGGAAACGAUCUGGUUGUGACAGUUCUAGCAGCAAGAGGGUUAAGGAGAAGAAAGUCUUCCUCUGCUGCACUCCCUAGAGCAUUUGCUAAAAUUCGCUUGGUCCCUCACUCUGCUUACAAUACCAUGAAGACUGCUGUAGCAGAACCUACUUGUAAUCCCGAAUGGAGUAAAACUUUUAUAUUUCCGGAAGUAACUUCGGAUGAUAUCCUGGAAUCGGUGUUUGAACUGUCCAUCUGGGACCACUGUCCAUUAGGUAGCAACGUUUUUCUAGGAGAGUUACAGCUACCUCUACGUAAAGCGGAUCUUCAAGACUGUCCCGAAUGGUACCCCCUUUCUGCCCACCAACAAACUCCCGUCGCUUUAUCGCCCACUCACAAAAUAACACCCCCAAGUUUGGUACCUUCUACACCAGCACACGAUAUUGCUCGAAGGAUGCUGCAGCGUGGUACUGAAGAAUAUUCCCAAUCGCUAACUUAUGAUGAAAUUAAAGAUGAGAGCAGUCUUCCUCCAGAGAAUAAAAACAUGCAAAGAAGCUCUUCCAUGGAUCUAACGCUGCUGCAUCCGGAUGAUGCUUGGGAUCGUCAUCCGACGCAACCUAGCAGCGGCAAUCAGGAAAGAAAGCCAUCGGCGCCGUCCGUCGUCACUCGAGUGAAGUCUACCCCUCCCAGUAGAAGAAGCUCCAACAAUUUGGUAUCUCAGGACAGUCUUCCAGAACUUUAUGGUACAGGUCCUAAGGUUAAAGAAAGAGUUCGGAGUGCCAGUUUUCGUGUUUACAGAUCAGCAGAUUCAGAUUCCGAGAAAGGUGAUCACAAGAAGCUAGGACAAUUAGUGAGAAGGAAAUUAUCUCGAACGUUAAGUCUAAAGUCUGACAAAGACAAGAGGAAGUCUGAUAGUUCCUCCUGAGCAACGCGUGAGUAAUUUAUCCAGUCCAGAAUUGACCCCUGACAGCGAUACGGGUGAUACACAAAAUAGAAAUCCUGGACAAAUCAUACCAAAAAGAUUUUCUGGGAAUGCCUCACCAAAAUUAGGUGAGAUUAAAUUGGGAUUUGUUAUGACUAAGGGUCAACUAGAAGUCGAUGUAGUCUGUGCAAAGGGUCUCGCUAACA
rnacentral:misc_RNA from 1 species